GACGAACGCUGGCGGCGUGCUUAACACAUGCAAGUCGAGCGGGAAGGCCCUGCUUUUGUGGGGUGCUCGAGUGGCGAACGGGUGAGUAACACGUGAGUAACCUGCCCAUGACUUUGGGAAGACUUCAAGAAACUGGGGCUAAUACCGGAUAGGAGCUCCUGCUGCAUGGUGGGGGUUGGAAAGUGUCGGCGGAGGGGGAUGGACACGAGGCUUAUCAGCUUCUUGGUGGGGUCGGGACUUACCAAGGCUUUGACGGGUAGCCGGCCUGGCAGGGUGACCGGCCACAUUGCGACUGCGAUACGGCCCAGACUCCUACGGGAGGCAGCAGUGGAGAAUAUUGCACUAUGGGCGGAAGCCUGAUGCAGCAACGCCGCGUGCGGGAUGAAGGCCUUCCGGUUGUAAUCCGCUUUCGCCUGUGACGAAGCGUGAGUGACGGUAAUGGGUAAAGAAGCACCGGCUAACUACGUG
rnacentral:rRNA from 1 species